CUUCUUUGACAUCUAUCCCUUGGAGGCUUUUGUUCUAUUGGCAUAAUUGUCGAGUUUUACUAUCAUCCAUGCAGGUUUAGAUUUCUCAUAUUUUUAGAGAGGGUAAUCAAGUUGUUGAUUGAUUGGCCAAUUAUGGUGUUGAUCACCCUAGUGUCCAUUGGUGGGAUUCAUGCCCUCCUUGUGCUGCAGCUCCUUAUUCUCACAAACCUUUAUAAGCUUCGUUGUUAUAGGUUUUGCUGAAUGAGGUUUUGAAUUGUUGUUAUGAAUUCUUUAAUGGUCCGAGUUUGGCCUCAUGUCCCCCUUGACAUAUUGUAUCUUUCUUGUUUAUCAAUAAAUUCUCCUCAAAGUCACUUCCCAUGAUAGCAAUGUUGGAGUGAGUUGGACUUUACGGCCAAAAAAAAAAAAAAAAAAAGUUAAACUGUUAGUUGUUAAGGAUGAGAAUCUUUGAGAAUCGAACAUACAUCAAAAUACAAAAAUAUAAUUACUUUUUGCCACUAUAAUAAAGUGUCAUCUACUUAACGAAAACGUUAGUUGAACAUCAAGCAGUCCCUUUCUCCUUUCAUGUUCAAUUCGCUUCUUGUACGGUCUUUCAUUUUUCCUUCUUUUUUCCCCCCUUUCUCUUACCAUGUUCAAUUUGCUUCUUGUACGACCUUUCGGUUUUUUCAUUUUUUUUUUCUCGAAUGCAAAUUGCAAAGCAUUACUAGAACAAACAUAUAAUUUUGUCACUAGUUUAUCCUUGAGAUCAAACAAUUUUAAGUUGGAGUUGAGAGGUCAAAAUUGUCAAUCUGUGCUACUAUACCUUCACUCGAGAAAGUUAACAGAGCAAAUAAUUAUAUGUGCACUUUAUUUUGUAGGGAUUUCCCUCCCUCUAUUACCUCUUUGCUUUUGCUUUCUUCCUAAUCAUACUGGUCUUCCACCACCACCACCACCAAAUAACAUAAUUCUCUCACAACCCUUCUUCCCCACUUGAACAACUUGCUCUCAACACAGAAGCACUGAAGACUGGGAGUUUCCUUCACGCCAGCCAUAACUCUCUGCUGUGUGCGAGUCGGUGUCUUACUUCCCUGAUGCUGAAAGUACGGACAUUACUCUACACUUCCUAGAGAUGUGUUUGUCUUUGACACAAGCGAUAGUGGGGGAGGGGAACAAGUAACCUCAGAUGCAAAGGCAUUGUAACAGAAAUCUGAUGAGUUGCCGAACAAGUUUUAAUUUGAGGUGAUUUACCAUUCACGUGGACUUCCUUGGUGCUAUUCACAUUAUUCUGGUCUGGCAGAUUCUCUACAUUGUGGACAUUCUGAAUCAA